UUUCUUUAAAUUGAUUUAUCUCGUUUAGUAAUUUCUGUUCUCUAUCUUUUUCUUCUUUUUCUUUUUGUCUUUGUUCAUACAGUUCUUUUAACAUUUGUAAUUCUUUUUCUAAUUCAGCAAUUCUACUAUUUUUGGUUUCUUCUAUUUUUCGUAUUUCUUCCGUAGUUUGUUGUUUUAUUUUUUCUAUUUCUUUUUUCCUAUCUAUCUCUUCAUUUUCU
rnacentral:lncRNA from 1 species